rnacentral:rRNA from 1 species
AGCGGCAACAGCUCAAAUUUGAAAGCUGGCCUUCGGGUCCGCAUUGUAAUUUGUAGAGGAUGCUUUGGGGCAGCCGCCUGUCUAAGUUCCUUGGAACAGGACGUCAUAGAGGGUGAGAAUCCCGUAUGUGACAGGACAUGGCACCCUAUGUAAAGCUCCUUCGACGAGUCGAGUUGUUUGGGAAUGCAGCUCUAAAUGGGAGGUAAAUUUCUUCUAAAGCUAAAUAUUGGCGAGAGACCGAUAGCGCACAAGUAGAGUGAUCGAAAGAUGAAAAGCACUUUGGAAAGAGAGUUAAAAAGCACGUGAAAUUGUUGAAAGGGAAGCGCUUGCAAUCAGACUUGUUCAAACCGUUCGGCCGGUCUUCUGACCGGUUUACUCGGUUUGGACAGGCCAGCAUCAGUUUCGGCGGCCGGAUAAAGGCUCUGGGAAUGUGGCCUCCACUUCGGUGGAGGUGUUAUAGCCCGGGGUGUAAUACGGCCAGCCGGGACUGAGGUCCGCGCUUCGGCUAGGAUGCUGGCGUAAUGGUUGUAAGCGACCCGUCUUG